GAGAGAGAAAGAGAGAGACAGACACACAGAGAGAGAGAGAGAGAGAGAGAGAGAGAGAAAGAGUGAGAGAGAGAAAUGCGAGAGAAGGGAAGCGACGAAGCGGAAACAAACACGGAAAUACAAAGGAAACAAACUGAUAUGCGACUGCAAUCUGGCAUGGAUUUGGGGACUAAGGAACGAGACGAAGAAUACAAAGUUAAAGGAUGCCCUCGAGGAACUCACUUGCUUCCUCGAAAGUAAUAAUACUGCAGCACCUAAGAUCAACAAUGACGACCUAGAGAGAAAUCAGGAGCAUGAAAUCGCGCGAAAUCCUGACACAUAUUUGGCUGAUAAUCUGAAGAAUGGAAAUAACGAAGACGAGGAAAGUUAUUUAGGUGACAUUGCUAAUGAAAAUU